UACGAAGGGGGCGAGCGUUGUUCGGAUUUACUGGGCGUAAAGGGCGCGCAGGCGGCGAGUUUUGCCAGGCGUGAAAGCCCCGGGCUCAACCUGGGAAUUGCGCUGAAACGGGCUUGCUAGAGAUCGGGAGAAGGAGAGUGGAAUUCCCAGUGUAGAGGUGAAAUUCGUAGAUAUUGGGAAGAACACCGGUGGCGAAGGCGGCUCUCUGGACCGAUACUGACGCUGAGGCGCGAAAGCGUGGGGAGCAAACAGGGAU
rnacentral:rRNA from 1 species